rnacentral:lncRNA from 1 species
UGACUUUAUUCUCGUGUGCUCUAUCCACCCGGCCUCUGGGCAAAUGCCCUUCUGACUUCUGUUGCAGUCACAUAACAAAAAAAGACAACAACAAUAAAAAUAAUAAGAAGGAUAUUU